rnacentral:lncRNA from 1 species
AUGAACUUUUUAAUAAUCCAAGGAGGGAGGAAAGCCCUCGGUCCCCUCGGCUCGGGGGGCGCCCAGCCCGGCUCAGCUCGGCGGGCGCGCCCCAUCACCCCCCUCCCACGUCCUCUGCGGACAGCUCUGAGGGGGCGCGCGCACCGCAGGGCCUCCUCCGGUCUCUGCGGCUGGCGUCCGUCUGACUGUCCGAGGCUUUGGAACAGACCGCGAUUCUUCAUUAACGCGCAAAGCGAGAUAGUCAUGGAGUUCCAGAGUGUUCGAUGUUCCUGGAACCUAGCAGGAGCAUCUAAAGGCCUCGCAGCCUCGGCGAUAACACUACUCUCGGCAACGGUGCCCCAUGCGGCCGAAUCCCAGGCCUCUGUUCUGCAGACUUCCAGGAGAUCGCGGAGCACAGAGGAAGCUGCCCUGGCCGUCGGCGCCUAGGCUGGCAGGGCGGGGGUGGGGGGAGCUCCCAACACCACCCGCGAAAGCAGAUUAUCGCAGCCCUUUCAGAGCGCGCACAACAAAUGCGCCCGCCAUCGAAUGCAGCAUUUACCACCGCAGAUCCGCGCGCCGAUGGGCAGGCAGAUAGCGUCCGCGGGGGGCUCGCCGGGCGGCGAGUGUGCGCCCCGGCUCUGCCCGGUGUGUUUGGAGGAACACGUGGGUAUGCCAGCGAGUGGACCCUCAGCAAGCAAGAAU